rnacentral:lncRNA from 1 species
AAAAAUUAAAACAAUAUCACCGAGCAACUCAAAAAAAAAAUCACAACAUCAUGGUUCUUGAUUUCUUCAUCAACAUAGCAGUAUAAAUCCAAGCUCAAAACUUGAGAAAAACUCAUAUCUAAAACGCAUAAUCUUCUUCUCCGUUUUUCUUUUUUUGAACAUUCAGAUUUUUAUGAUUUCCCCUUCACCCCUUCAUAUUUUUU